rnacentral:rRNA from 1 species
UACAGAGGUCUCAAGCGUUGUUCGGAUUCAUUGGGCGUAAAGGGUGCGUAGGCGGCGCGGUAAGUCGGGUGUGAAAUCUCGGAGCUUAACUCCGAAACUGCAUUCGAUACUGCCGUGCUUGAGGACUGGGGAGGAGACUGGAAUUUACGGUGUAGCGGUGAAAUGCGUAGAUAUCGUAAGGAAGACCAGUGGCGAAGGCGGCAUCCUGGACCAAUUCUGACGCUGAGGAGCGAAAGCCAGGGGAGCAAACGGG